CAAUAAGUGUUUAUGGCACUUUCAAAUCCAUACCCACCUUGUGUGCAAUGUAAGAGCCCUUUCCAAACCCCCCCCCUUCUCUGGGGGGGGAAAGACUGGGCUUCAUUUUCUUCUCACACGUCUUCAAUUGCAAGUCUAACAUUCAGAGUAAUCAAAACUCGAAUA
rnacentral:misc_RNA from 1 species